AUCCACCAUAUCCUGUAUACACUUCCUUCCAAAAAGCUGGUCUCAGAUCCCAUUAGAAAUCAGUUGAUUACCUCCUUAACAGCUAUGCCACUACUGCACAGGAAGGCAAAUCUUGCCUUGAAGGUUGCUAUCAUCACAUGCAGAGUCUAAAGCUGAGAAAAAUUAUCACUGAACUUUUCUUUCCUCACUGUCCAUAUAACAACUCUGGAGAAAUCUUCUGGCUUUUUCUUUGUAUUUUACAACUAAGGUGUGUAAUGUUUUCAUCUAUAGGCUCUUACCUUUUAGUUUUCCUGGGGCAGCCCAAGGCAGUGAUCAUGUUUCCUGCACCGAGAAAUGAUACAUGGUUAGGAUGAGAAGUGUGCUAAUUACUUUGAUUGAACGUCCCAUAUUGUAUAAAUGUGUUCUAUAAUACUGUACCCCAGCUACACACAUCUAUUAAACCUAGAAAUAUGUUUUAAAAUGUGAA
rnacentral:lncRNA from 1 species